rnacentral:rRNA from 1 species
UACAGAGGUGGCAAGCGUUGUUCGGAAUUACUGGGCGUAAAGGGCGCGUAGGCGGCCUACUAAGUCAGACGUGAAAUCCCCCGGCUUAACCUGGGAACUGCGUCUGAUACUGGAAGGCUUGAGGAUGGGAGAGGGAUGUAGAAUUCCAGGUGUAGCGGUGAAAUGCGUAGAUAUCUGGAGGAACACCGGUGGCGAAGGCGGCAUCCUGGACCAACACUGACGCUGAGUGAGCGAAAGCCAGGGGAGCAAACGGG